rnacentral:rRNA from 1 species
CGGGUGAGUAACGCGUAGGUAACCUACCUAUUAGAGGGGGAUAACUAUUGGAAACGAUAGCUAAUACCGCAUAACAGUAUGUAACACAUGUUAGAUGCUUGAAAGAUGCAAUUGCAUCGCUAGUAGAUGGACCUGCGUUGUAUUAGCUAGUAGGUAGGGUAAUGGCCUACCUAGGCAACGAUACAUAGCCGACCUGAGAGGGUGAUCGGCCACACUGGGACUGAGACACGGCCCAGACUCCUACGGGAGGCAGCAGUAGGGAAUCUUCGGCAAUGGGGGGAACCCUGACCGAGCAACGCCGCGUGAGUGAAGAAGGUUUUCGGAUCGUAAAGCUCUGUUGUUAAGGAAGAACGAGUGUGAGAAUGGAAAGUUCAUGCUGUGACGGUACUUAACC